UUUCUUUUGUAAUUCUCAAUGGUCAUAUUUUAUUAUCAUCACUGAAAUACACAAAAGUGUAAUACUUCCAAUGAUGUAUACAUACUUUUGUAGUGAAUUUGUUUCUAACGUUAUUUUCAUUUUCUUCAUGACAAUAUAAUUUCUUUUUAUUUCUUGCGAUGAAAUGUGGCGUGUGACAUGUUCUUGACAUGUUUAGUGAGAUUCACCCCCUCUAGAUGAUUUAGGCUUUCAUGAAGCAUCAGUGAGUGUCUUCGAUUCAGAUCUGAUCUCCUGAUUUGAGACGCUUGAAAAACGGGCCUCAAUAAUAAAUGCAUAUUGCAGGCAUAGAAACACACGUUAUGCUAAGAGAGCUUUGUGGAUGGCAGAACGUCUGACAGCGACAGCGAUCGCAGCAUUCACUCUUGCACACCGUGUGAAGUAUGAAGAGCUCUGCUCUGAUUAUGCUGAGAACCAGCAGAAGUGAAUGACAGCUUACGUCUAACAUCAAUCCUCUGUUUUGGUAUCUGUCCGGUGAAGGGAACAAACUGAAAAUAACAAACUGUAAAAUAGUAAUCAUAGUUCUGACUUGUACAUUAUGUAUGUUUAAACCUGGAAGAUUAAAAGAUAUGCUUAUGUUUUUCCCUGGACCCGGGGACUACAGGUGCUUCCAUCAUUUGACCAAGAAUGUGUUUCUUUAAUCGCUGUGUAUUCACAUAGAAUUAGUUUAUGUAUAUCAUACGCUUACCGUAGGUUGGAUCAUAUAACAACAGGUUACUUUGCCUUAUGUUGUUUGUUUUGCACCAUUUGAACUUGACAUGUUGACCUAUUAUUGAGUUUGUACACAUCAUAUGACAAUAACUUCGUUUUAAAUCGCUUCUGCAAUGUAGUCACUGUGGAACUUGCAAAACUGUGUGUGCUUUUUUAAGAUGUGUGUGUGUGUGUGUGUGUGUGUGUGUCCCAAGAGCCUCACUAGCCAAUGUAUUAUCAAACAUAUAAUGUGUCAGUUUUUGAUACUGUUUUCGAUCCGUCUGGAGAGACACUUUAUCAUGCAGUAAUGUGUUUGAGCUGCCUGUGAGCCCUACCAGCUCUUCUCUAUUGUGCCCUGGGAUUUCCAUCUUAUUUAAAUAAAGGGGCGGGGCUGUUGCACUUUUCCACAACCUAUAUUCUGACUAGUUCCCGGAAAUCCCGGCAUUUUACCUGCUCUAGUGAAAAAUUAAAUAAAAUAUUUUAAAUAAUUAAAAACUGCGUUCUU
rnacentral:lncRNA from 1 species